CAUGCCUAAGGGCUUCUCCCUCUUCUUUUUUUUCUCCUGAAAUUUAGAAUUUCAGCAAAAGAGAAUCUCAAGGAAGCUGUUGUCUUGUUGUAGUUCUCAAGUAGCUAAGAAUCUGCUACCAUCAAGCAAAGAUUUUGCAAGAGAGCUAGCACCUCGGGGAACCAAGAAGUUGCUGAUUGUUUUCAUCUCUGUGUGGAUAUUUGUAGAGGCCAGGCACUUACGUGGCUACAAGAAAAGGAACCAAUCCAGGUUCUACAGUUGUGGAGUUCAUCUACCCA
rnacentral:lncRNA from 1 species